rnacentral:rRNA from 1 species
UACGGAGGGGACUAGCGUUGUUCGGAAUUACUGGGCGUAAAGCGCGUGUAGGCGGUUGUUCAAGUCAGGUGUGAAAGCCUUGAGCUCAACUCAAGAAAUGCACUUGAUACUGGAUGACUAGAGGACCGGAGGGGAUAGUGAAAUUCCCAGUGUAGUGGUGAAAUACGUAGAGAUUGGGAAGAACACCAGUGGCGAAGGCGGCUAUCUGGACGGUUUCUGACGCUAAGACGCGAAAGCGUGGGGAGCAAACAGG